GCUUACGGCCAUACCAGCCUGGGUACGCCCGAUCUCGUCUGAUCUCGGAAGCUAAGCAGGGUCGGGCCUGGUUAGUACUUGAAUGGGAGACUGCCUGGGAAUACCAGGUGCUGUAACCA
rnacentral:rRNA from 1 species